ACCUCAGUAACGGCGAGUGAAGCGGUAACAGCUCAAAUUUGAAAUCUGGCAGCAAUGUCCGAGUUGUAAUUUGUAGAGGAUGUUUCGAGCAUGGUCUGGCCUAAGUUCCUUGGAACAGGACGUCAUAGAGGGUGAGAAUCCCGUAUGCGGUCAGGUGCCUACGCUCAUGUGAAACUCCUUCGACGAGUCGAGUUGUUUGGGAAUGCAGCUCAAAAUGGGUGGUAAAUUUCAUCUAAAGCUAAAUAUUGGCCAGAGACCGAUAGCGCACAAGUAGAGUGAUCGAAAGAUGAAAAGCACUUUGGAAAGAGAGUUAAACAGUACGUGAAAUUGUUGAAAGGGAAGCGCUUGCAACCAGACUUGCACGCAGUUAAUCAUCCGCUGUUCUCAGUGGUGCACUUGAUUGCGUUCAGGCCAGCAUCGGUUUUGGUGGUGGGAUAAAGGCCUUAGGAAUGUAGCUGCUUUCGGGCAGUGUUAUAGCCUAGGGUGCAAUGCCGCCUACUGGGACCGAGGACCGCGCUUCGGCUAGGAUGCUGGCGUAAUGGUUGUAAGCGACCCGUCUUGAAACACGGACCAAGGAGUCUAACAUCUAUGCGAGUGUUUGGGUGUCAAACCCAUACGCGUAAUGAAAGUGAACGGAGGUCAGAACCCUUAAGGGUGCAUGAUCGACCGGUCCUGAAGUCUUCGGAUGGAUCUGAGUAAGAGCAUAGCUGUUGGGACCCGAAAGAUGGUGAACUAUGCCUGAAUAGGGUGAAGCCAGAGGAAACUCUGGUGGAGGCUCGCAGCGGUUCUGACGUGCAAAUCGAUCGUCAAAUUUGGGUAUA
rnacentral:rRNA from 1 species